rnacentral:rRNA from 1 species
AUUGAACGCUGGCGGCAGGCCUAACACAUGCAAGUCGAGCGGAUGAGGGGAGCUUGCUCCCUGAUUUAGCGGCGGACGGGUGAGUAAUGCCUAGGAAUCUGCCUGGUAGUGGGGGAUAACGUUCCGAAAGGAACGCUAAUACCGCAUACGUCCUACGGGAGAAAGCAGGGGACCUUCGGGCCUUGCGCUAUCAGAUGAGCCUAGGUCGGAUUAGCUAGUUGGUGAGGUAAUGGCUCACCAAGGCGACGAUCCGUAACUGGUCUGAGAGGAUGAUCAGUCACACUGGAACGGAGACACGGUCCAGACUCCUACGGGAGGCAGCAGUGGGGAAUAUUGGACAAUGGGCGAAAGCCUGAUCCAGCCAUGCCGCGUGUGUGAAGAAGGUCUUCGGAUUGUAAAGCACUUUAAGUUGGGAGGAAGGGCUGCUGGUUAAUACCCUGCAGUUUUGACGUUACCAACAGAAUAAGCACCGGCUAACUUCGUG